GUGUUGUAGUGCCAUUAACCAGCAUGGCUGCCCAUGCAGUUGAUGAGGAAGUUGAUAUUGACUUGGAAAUCAACAAUGAAGUGAAAGAACCGAGGGAAAGUACUAAGGAGGCUGCGUCAGGCGGCCUGCCUUUCUUUCCCCCUCCACCACCUCCUCCAAUCCGUGAAUUCAACCAUUCAAGGUAUGAGGGUGAAGAUCAAAAUGUAGAUGUGGAGGUGGUUGAUGAUGAAAGGGAAGGUAUGGAC
rnacentral:misc_RNA from 1 species